CAUAAUGGGUGAAAAUGAUUAGACUUUUUUUCUCAGGAUUGAAAAAAUAUUAACCACAUAGCAAGAAUUAAUGUUGUCAAUAGUUUUUUCUAAGCCCUGGAUUUCCUGCAGAGCGCAUUAUGACAUAUGCACGUGUCUUAGUUACUAUUCUACUGUUGUGUAGACACCAUGGCCAAAGCAAUUUGUAGAAGAACGUUUGCUGGUGACUUAGACAGUUUCAGAGGGUGAGUCCCUGACCAUCAGAGUGGACAGCAUGACAGCAGGCAGACAGGCGCCAGGAACUGCACUGGAGCAGUAGCAGAAAGCUUACAUUUUGAUCCACAAGCACAAAACAGAGAGGAUUAACUGGGAGAUGAGGUCACAGAGGUCAAAGUACCUAGAUCCUCUGGAGAUGAAGUGACAAGCAGUGUGUUGGGAAUCGAACUUGAGCCCUGCAGAAUAGCUGUCCCUGCUCUUAACUUCUGAGCUGUGUCCAGCCCCUUCACACAACUCUUUUACUUCAGGAAGGAGGAAAACAGCAGAUCUCUACCAUCAGUGUGUCUACAAUUCCAAGAGACUUUGCAAAAGCCAUUCAUCUGGACUACCUAAUGCUAGUGCACAUAAAAGGAAUGAGACAUGGGCCCUGAUGUCUCCAACCAGAGUGGUAGAAGGCAGCAGACCGUGCAGGAGGAGUGCCACAGAUCGGCACCAGUUCACUGAUCACGAUUUUUCAGAUAUAAAUUCUACAGUGUGGUUACCCCAAGAAUGAGGACACAUGCUUAUUACAGGUCUGUAGAUGAACUGAGGCAAUUCUUGCCUAGUGGCUGUCAGACUACAACUGGAGCAACUCCAUUGAUGCUCACUUUCUUCUUUGAAUCCAAAAAGGAAUGCUGUCAGGAGCAGCGUGUCUCAACAACAAAUGAAUAAAUGAUAUUAAAUGUCACAUUUCUGUGUAUUUCUGACAGUUUUGAAAACUAUCUAUGUAAAGUAAUCUGGAUUGUUGUCCAUUAACUACUCUAAGCUAUUUCUACACAAAAAUAUCUUGCAAGUAACCUAGCAAUUGACUCAGAGCCAAGAAUUUGCUAUCUGGUCCUUAUUUCAUAUGCUUAAUCCUUUCAAAUCAGUUUGUAAUGGCAUUUAUAGAAAGACUGGGUCUAAGUUCUGUAUUUUUAAAAUAUUUGUAUCAAUAGAAGAAAUGUAAACCAAUGAAAACCUUGAUUCUGCAUCAAAAUAAAAUCUGUA